rfam:Ictidomys tridecemlineatus contig001524, whole genome shotgun sequence.
AUCCAGUCCUGGUGCCCUCAGUACAGCUGGUUCCCUUGACACAGGACCUGCCCUGUUUACAUCUCUGUACCCCGCCAUGGACCCCAG